UUAAGUUAGAAAGGGCGCACGGUGGAUGCCUUGGCACUAGGAGCCGAUGAAGGACGGGACGAACACCGAUAUGCUUCGGGGAGCUGUAAGCAAGCUUUGAUCCGGAGAUUUCCGAAUGGGGAAACCCACCACUCGUAAUGGAGUGGUAUCCAUAUCUGAAUUCAUAGGAUAUGAGAAGGCAGACCCGGGGAACUGAAACAUCUAAGUACCCGGAGGAAGAGAAAGCAAAUGCGAUUCCCUGAGUAGCGGCGAGCGAAACGGGAUUAGCCCAAACCAAGAGGCNUGNNNNUGGGGNUGUAGGACACNCUGUACGGAGUUACAAAGGAACGAGGUAGAUGAAGAGGUCUGGAAAGGCCCGCCAUAGGAGGUAACAGCCCUGUAGUCAAAACUUCGUUCUCUCCUGAGUGGAUCCUGAGUACGGCGGAACACGUGAAAUUCCGUCGGAAUCCGGGAGGACCAUCUCCCAAGGCUAAAUACUCCCUAGUGACCGAUAGUGAACCAGUACCGUGAGGGAAAGGUGAAAAGCACCCCGGAAGGGGAGUGAAAGAGAUCCUGAAACCGUGUGCCUACAAGUAGUCAGAGCCCGUUAACGGGUGAUGGCGUGCCUUUUGUAGAAUGAACCGGCGAGUUACGAUCUCGUGCAAGGUUAAGCAGAAGAUGCGGAGCCGCAGCGAAAGCGAGUCUGAAUAGGGCGCAUGAGUACGUGGUCGUAGACCCGAAACCAGGUGAUCUACCCAUGUCCAGGGUGAAGUUCAGGUAACACUGAAUGGAGGCCCGAACCCACGCACGUUGAAAAGUGCGGGGAUGAGGUGUGGGUAGGGGUGAAAUGCCAAUCGAGCCUGGAGAUAGCUGGUUCUCUCCGAAAUAGCUUUAGGGCUAGCCUCAAGGUAAGAGUCUUGGAGGUAGAGCACUGAUUGGACUAGGGGCCCCUACCGGGUUACCGAAUUCAGUCAAACUCCGAAUGCCAAUGACUUAUCCUUGGGAGUCAGACUGCGAGUGAUAAGAUCCGUAGUCGAAAGGGAAACAGCCCAGACCGCCAGCUAAGGUCCCAAAGUAUACGUUAAGUGGAAAAGGAUGUGGAGUUGCUUAGACAACCAGGAUGUUGGCUUAGAAGCAGCCACCAUUUAAAGAGUGCGUAAUAGCUCACUGGUCGAGUGACUCUGCGCCGAAAAUGUACCGGGGCUAAACGUAUCACCGAAGCUGCGGACUGUUCUUCGAACAGUGGUAGGAGAGCGUUCUAAGGGCUGUGAAGCCAGACCGGAAGGACUGGUGGAGCGCUUAGAAGUGAGAAUGCCGGUAUGAGUAGCGAAAGAGGGGUGAGAAUCCCCUCCACCGAAUGCCUAAGGUUUCCUGAGGAAGGCUCGUCCGCUCAGGGUUAGUCGGGACCUAAGCCGAGGCCGAAAGGCGUAGGCGAUGGACAACAGGUUGAUAUUCCUGUACCACCUCCUCACCAUUUGAGCAAUGGGGGGACGCAGGAGGAUAGGGUAAGCGCGGUAUUGGAUAUCCGCGUCCAAGCAGUUAGGCUGGGAAAUAGGCAAAUCCGUUUCCCAUAAGGCUGAGCUGUGAUGGCGAGCGAAAUAUAGUAGCGAAGUUCCUGAUUCCACACUGCCAAGAAAAGCCUCUAGCGAGGUGAGAGGUGCCCGUACCGCAAACCGACACAGGUAGGCGAGGAGAGAAUCCUAAGGUGAUCGAGAGAACUCUCGUUAAGGAACUCGGCAAAAUGACCCCGUAACUUCGGGAGAAGGGGUGCUCUGUUAGGGUGCAAGCCCGAGAGAGCCGCAGUGAAUAGGCCCAGGCGACUGUUUAGCAAAAACACAGGUCUCUGCGAAGCCGUAAGGCGAAGUAUAGGGGCUGACGCCUGCCCGGUGCUGGAAGGUUAAGAGGAGCGCUUAGCGUAAGCGAAGGUGCGAAUUGAAGCCCCAGUAAACGGCGGCCGUAACUAUAACGGUCCUAAGGUAGCGAAAUUCCUUGUCGGGUAAGUUCCGACCCGCACGAAAGGCGCAACGAUCUGGGCACUGUCUCAACGAGAGACUCGGUGAAAUUAUAGUACCUGUGAAGAUGCAGGUUACCCGCGACAGGACGGAAAGACCCCGUGGAGCUUUACUGCAGCCUGAUAUUGAAUGUUGGUACAGCUUGUACAGGAUAGGUAGGAGCCUUGGAAACCGGAGCGCCAGCUUCGGUGGAGGCAUCGGUGGGANNCUNNCNNNNNAGNNCCCUUGUGCCUUUACACUCUGCGAAUGAUUUCCAACCAUUCUGAGGGAACCUUUGGGCGCCUCCUAAAAGGUAACGGAGGCGCCCAAAGGUUCCCUCAGAAUGGUUGGAAAUCAUUCGCAGAGUGUAAAGGCACAAGGGAGCUUGACUGCGAGACCUACAAGUCGAGCAGGGACGAAAGUCGGGCUUAGUGAUCCGGUGGUUCCGCAUGGAAGGGCCAUCGCUCAACGGAUAAAAGCUACCCCGGGGAUAACAGGCUUAUCUCCCCCAAGAGUCCACAUCGACGGGGAGGUUUGGCACCUCGAUGUCGGCUCAUCGCAUCCUGGGGCUGUAGUCGGUCCCAAGGGUUGGGCUGUUCGCCCAUUAAAGCGGUACGCGAGCUGGGUUCAGAACGUCGUGAGACAGUUCGGUCCCUAUCCGUCGCGGGCGCAGGAAAUUUGAGAGGAGCUGUCCUUAGUACGAGAGGACCGGGAUGGACGCACCGCUGGUGUACCAGUUGUUCUGCCAAGGGCAUCGCUGGGUAGCUAUGUGCGGACGGGAUAAGUGCUGAAAGCAUCUAAGCAUGAAGCCCCCCUCAAGAUGAGAUUUCCCAUUCCGCAAGGAAGUAAGAUCCCUGAAAGAUGAUCAGGUUGAUAGGUCUGAGGUGGAAGUGUGGCGACACAUGGAGCUGACAGAUACUAAUCGAUCGAGGACUUAACC
rnacentral:rRNA from 1 species